rnacentral:pre_miRNA from 1 species
AUAGUACUCCCUCCGUUCGGAAUUACUUGUCGCAGAAAUGGAUGUAUGUAGACGUAUUUUAGUUCUAGAUACAUCCAUUUCUGAGACAAGUAAUUCCGAACGGAGGGAGUAGUUU